GUCUUCACGUAGCGCUGUUGAAUAGAACACACGUCUCCGUCCAUCCAUCCCAAAUCGUUUUUCCUCAAUUGCAAAAAGGAAAAAAAAACAUUAAUAUUGUUUUUCCUCUCUCCCCCAUAACAGAACGCAUCUCUGUCUCCUCUCCCAAGUGAGCGAGCCGCCCCUAGCCCUAGAUGGACGCCGCCGCCCCCUUCUAUCUGGACCUCGACGCCGCCGCUCCGGCUCAGCAUCGACUUGGCUAGAGCAACACGCCGGCCUUCUAUAGUCCCAUCCGCAUCUUCCCUGGUGACCCGAUUUGUAGCAGCGACGUCGCUAGCGAAGCCGAUCGCGGAGGUGCGUGUGUGAGGACCUGGUGUUCCCGGCUUCCCGCAGCCCAUGGUGGGGGAGGACCAUGUUGUGCCCUUCUUCGGCGGAUUCAUGGGCUCCAUCAGUCCCUCAUCUCUGCUUCAUCAUCCACGACAUCUAUGGCCACGACUCCUCCGCCGUCCGGGUCACCUCGCACCUUGGUGAAGGGGCUGCCGUUCCCGUUCAGCAGCUGCUGCACCAUCUACAGCAGUGAGCACGACCCGCAUCGGCAGCAUCAGAUUCAGAUUGUGUUUGGAGAUGGCGGCCCAAGAGGAGGAUUUCAGUGGAGAUCGUACUUUGACUAUAACAAUAGGCUAAGAUUUCACCUGCACUGUAUGCGAAAAGCAGGUUCAGGAGCUCCAAGCCAACAAACACCAGAGCUUUGAAAAAGAUGACUAUAGAAGCAUUUUAUCCGUUUUCCCGCCGGAACAGCUCUCCGUGCCGUAUGAAAGUCAUUUGGAAAUAUGAGUGAGAAGUAGGUGUUGUAUUGUUUUUUUUUUUUAAUUUCUGGGGAGGAAGGGAACUACAGUUUUGGCAAUAUUCACGAUUCACAAGCAAAAUGAUUGAUAAUGUUGUUUACGACAUAAACUUUGUCAUGGUUGAUUAAAUAGGCACAGUUAAUUUUAGGUGCUAGAAGGAAAGCACCGCUACAAAUUUAGAACUAGGAUGUGGUUUUUGAUAGUUCUGUAACAUUACAAAUCUGGAUCAUUGAAUUUUUUCGUACCGGAUCAA